ACGCUGGCGGCAGGCCUAACACAUGCAAGUCGAGCGGAAACGACACUAUCGAUUCUUCGGAUGMUUUAAUGGGCGUCGAGCGGCGGACGGGUGAGUAAUGCCUAGGAAAUUGCCUUGAUGUGGGGGAUAACCAUUGGAAACGAUGGCUAAUACCGCAUAAUGCCUACGGGCCAAAGAGGGGGAUCUUCGGACCUCUCGCGUCAAGAUAUGCCUAGGUGGGAUUAGCUAGUUGGUGAGGUAAUGGCUCACCAAGGCGACGAUCCCUAGCUGGUCUGAGAGGAUGAUCAGCCACACUGGAACUGAGACACGGUCCAGACUCCUACGGGAGGCAGCAGUGGGGAAUAUUGCACAAUGGGCGAAAGCCUGAUGCAGCCAUGCCGCGUGUAUGAAGAAGGCCUUCGGGUUGUAAAGUACUUUCAGUUGUGAGGAAGGGGGURWMGUUAAUAGCKKYRYMUCUUGACGUUAGCAACAGAAGAAGCACCGGCUAACUCCGUGCCAGCAGCCGCGGUAAUACGGAGGGUGCGAGCGUUAAUCGGAAUUACUGGGCGUAAAGCGCAUGCAGGUGGUUCAUUAAGUCAGAUGUGAAAGCCCGGGGCUCAACCUCGGAACUGCAUUUGAAACUGGUGAACUAGAGUGCUGUAGAGGGGGGUAGAAUUUCAGGUGUAGCGGUGAAAUGCGUAGAGAUCUGAAGGAAUACCAGUGGCGAAGGCGGCCCCCUGGACA
rnacentral:rRNA from 1 species